AGGAGAGGAAGGAAAACACAGUCCUGGCAGGAGGUGCCCGAGAUCUGGAGCCGAGAAACGCUGAUGCUGCCGUCCACAGGGCCCUGGGCUCCUUGGAGGCUCGAGGAAAUAAAGUAACUGGCUGAUGACCAACUGCCACAUGUACCUAUGGCUCUUCCAGCAAAUACUGUGUGAGAUCCAGGCAAAUGAGGCCCAGGAUCUGUCCUUAAGGAGGUCGCCGAGCAACGGACUUAAAGAAAAGGACUUCUUCAGAACAUCGGUGGUAAAAAAAAAAAAAAAAAAAGAACGUCGGUAAUAAACAAGGAAGAAACGCAAUUUGUUCUCUCUGGUGCUACCCAAGAUGGAAAACGGAUGUAGCCCAGACUUAUUAGUCUUCUUAAAUGUAAAGAAAAAGAAAAUUGAGUGGUGACCUGACCCAGAACUAUCAGAGGAAGAAAAGCAGCAUUAGUUCAAGACUGAGAAGCAAGAAAAAUCUGAGUCUGUUUGCCAGAUAAAAUAGGAAGUAUCUGCAGCUGGAUUCCCUCUGUGUCGGUCACAAAGCGUCAGUCUACUCAUCACAUAACUGAGCUGCUCAGCUUCAACUGAUCCCCUUGUCCAAAUGCAGCCAUCUCACUUCUGAUUCAUAAAACACUAUUUCACAGCAAGUGAGUCACUUAAUGACUACAUAAUGUAACAUAAAUUACUUUUAUGCAUUUAAAACAAUUUCCUAAUUACAAGGAAACAUAAAAAAAGGUUCCGAGUGUGAUUUUUAAGAUGCUGGAACAAACCAAGAUUUAAUAUAAAAUAUAAUGAC
rnacentral:lncRNA from 1 species